rnacentral:rRNA from 1 species
AGUUUAAAGAAAUUAUUUUAAAUGAAUCCUGCCCAGUGUUAAUUAUAAAUGGCCGCAGUACCCUGACUGUGCGAAGGUAGCAUAAUCAAUUGGCUUUUAAUUGAAGUCUGGAAUGAAAGGAGAUUUGGAAAAAAGCUGUCUCAAAAAUAUUUAGUCGAAUUUAAUUAUUAGGUGUAAAUACCUAUUUAGAGAAAAAAGACGAGAAGACCCUUAGAAUUUUAAAAAUAUUACUUAAUUAAUUUAUUUUUGUUGGGGCGACAAUUAAACAUUUUUAACUUUAAUUUUUUAUACAAAACGAAAUUGUUAUAAAAGGAUAAAUUACCUUAGGGAUAACAGCAUAAUUUUUUAAUAAGUUUGUGACCUCGAUGUUGGACUAGGAACUUUAUGGCAAGCAGUCAAAAAAGAUUUGUUCUGUUCGAACAAUAUUAUCCU